AGGAGAGUUUGAUCCUGGCUCAGGAUGAACGCUGGCGGCGUGCUUAUUACAUGCAAGUCGAACGAAGCAACCUAUCACGAUCCCUUCGGGGUGACGAUUUGUUGUCUGAGUGGCGGACGGGUGAGUAACGCGUGGGUAACCUACCUUGUACAGGGGGACAACAGUUGGAAACGACUGCUAAUACCGCAUAAGCGCACAGCUUCGCAUGAAGCAGUGUGAAAAGUUUUUUCGGUACAAGAUGGACCCGCGUCUGAUUAGCUAGUUGGUGAGGUAACGGCCCACCAAGGCGACGAUCAGUAGCCGACCUGAGAGGGUGACCGGCCACAUUGGGACUGAGACACGGCCCAAACUCCUACGGGAGGCAGCAGUGGGGAAUAUUGCACAAUGGGCGAAAGCCUGAUGCAGCGACGCCGCGUGAGCGAAGAAGUAUUUCGGUAUGUAAAGCUCUAUCAGCAGGGAAGAUAAUGACGGUACCUGACUAAGAAGCACCGGCUAAAUACGUGCCAGCAGCCGCGGUAAUACGUAUGGUGCAAGCGUUAUCCGGAUUUACUGGGUGUAAAGGGAGCGUAGGCGGUUUUACAAGUCUGAUGUGAAAGCCCGGGGCUCAACUCCGGUAUUGCAUUGGAAACUGUAGAACUAGAGUGUCGGAGGGGUAAGUGGAAUUCCUAGUGUAGCGGUGAAAUGCGUAGAUAUUAGGAGGAACACCAGUGGCGAAGGCGGCUUACUGGACGAUUACUGACGCUGAGGCUCGAAAGCGUGGGGAGCAAACAGGAUUAGAUACCCUGGUAGUCCCCU
rnacentral:rRNA from 1 species